rnacentral:rRNA from 1 species
AUUGAACGCUGGCGGCAUGCCUAACACAUGCAAGUCGAGCGGAGCGGCGAACGGGUGAGUAAUGCCUCGGAACCUGCCCGGUAGUGGGGGAUAACGUCCGGAAACGGUAGCUAAUACCGCAUACUAUCAGAUCAGCCGAGGUCGGAUUAGCUAGUUGGUGGGGUAAAGGCCUACCAAGGCGACGAUCCGUAACUGGUCUGAGAGGAUGAUCAGUCACACGGGGACUGAGACACGGUCCAGACUCCUACGGGAGGCAGCAGUGGGGAAUAUUGGACAAUGGGGGAAAGCCUGAUCCAGCCAUGCCGCGUGUGUGAAGAAGGUCUUCGGGUUGUAAAGCACUUUUGGUAGGGAAGCGUUACCAGCAGAAUAAGCACCGGCUAACUACGUGCCAGCAGCCGCGGUAAUAC